GACGAACGCUGGCGGCGUGCUUAACACAUGCCAGUCGAACGAGAUCCAAUGUGUAGCCAUACACAGGAAGAUCUAGUGGCGAACGGGUGAGGAACACGUGAGAAACGUACCCCAGACUUUGGGAUAACAGUCCGAAAGGACUGCUAAUACCAAAUAACGUCGGAAGUCCGCAUGGACAUCUGACGAAAGGGAUUCCGGUUUGGGAGCGUCUCGCGGACCUAUCAGCUAGUUGGAGGGGUAACGGCCCACCAAGGCAACGACGGGUAGCUGGUCUGAGAGGAUGGUCAGCCACACUGGGACUGAGACACGGCCCAGACUCCUACGGGAGGCAGCAGUGGGGAAUCUUGCGCAAUGGGCGAAAGCCUGACGCAGCAACGCCGCGUGCGGGAAGAAGGCUUUCGGGCUGUAAACCGCUUUCAGUAGGAACGAAACUGACGGUACCUACAGAAGAAGGAGCGGCCAACUAUGUG
rnacentral:rRNA from 1 species